rnacentral:rRNA from 1 species
UACGUAGGGUGCAAGCGUUGUCCGGAAUUACUGGGCGUAAAGCGCGCGCAGGCGGCCCUUUAAGUCCGUCGGUCAAAUGCCGGGGCUCAACCCCGAUGCAUGCCGAGGAUACUGGAGGGCUGGAGACACGUAGAGGCAAGCGGAAUUCCGGGUGUAGCGGUGGAAUGCGUAGAGAUCCGGAAGAACACCGGAGGCGAAGGCGGCUUGCUGGGCGUGAUCUGACGCUGAGGCGCGAAAGCGUGGGGAGCGAACAGG